rnacentral:rRNA from 1 species
AGAAUCAACGCUGGCGGCGUGCCUAACACAUGCAAGUCGAACGGGAAAGUGGAGCAAUCCAUGAGUAUAGUGGCGACCGGGUGAGUAACACGUGACUACCUACCCUUGAGUGGGGGAUAACCUCGGGAAACCGAGGCUAAUACCGCAUAACAUCGAAAGAUCAAAGGAGUAAUCCGCUUUUGGAGGGGUCGCGGCUGAUUAGCUAGUUGGUAGGGUAAUGGCCUACCAAGGCGAAGAUCGGUA